rnacentral:rRNA from 1 species
AUUGUACGCUGGCGGCAGGCCUAACACAUGCAAGUCGAGCGGAUGAAGGGAGCUUGCUCCUGGAUUCAGCGGCGGACGGGUGAGUAAUGCCUAGGAAUCUGCCUGGUAGUGGGGGAUAACGUCCGGAAACGGGCGCUAAUACCGCAUACGUCCUGAGGGAGAAAGUGGGGGAUCUUCGGACCUCACGCUAUCAGAUGAGCCUAGGUCGGAUUAGCUAGUUGGUGGGGUAAAGGCCUACCAAGGCGACGAUCCGUAACUGGUCUGAGAGGAUGAUCAGUCACACUGGAACUGAGACACGGUCCAGACUCCUACGGGAGGCGGCAGUGGGGAAUAUUGGACAAUGGGCGAAAGCCUGAUCCAGCCAUGCCGCGUGUGUGAAGAAGGUCUUCGGAUUGUAAAGCACUUUAAGUUGGGAGGAAGGGCAGUAAGUUAAUACCUUGCUGUUUUGACGUUACCAACAGAAUAAGCACCGGCUAACUUCGUG